ACCUAGAUGGCUCAGCCGGUUGGGCGUCCGACUUUGGCUCAGGUCAUGAUCUCACCAUCCGUGAGUUCGAGCCCCACUUUGGGCU
rnacentral:tRNA from 1 species